CGUGGCAUACGGCUCAGUAACACGUAGUCAACAUGCCCAGGGGACGUGGAUAACCUCGGGAAACUGAGGAUAAACCGCGAUAGGCCAUGAUUUCUGGAAUGGUUCAUGGCUGAAAUCUAUAUGGCCCCUGGAUUGGACUGCGGCCGAUCAGGCUGUUGGUGAGGUAAUGGCCCACCAAACCUGUAACCGGUACGGGCUCUGAGAGGAGGAGCCCGGAGAUGGGCACUGAGACAAGGGCCCAGGCCCUAUGGGGCGCAGCAGGCGCGAAAUCUCUGCAAUAGGCGAAAGCUUGACAGGGUUACUCUGAGUGGUUCCCGUUAAGGGGAUCUUUUGGCACCUUUAAAAAUGGUGCAGAAUAAGGGGUGGGCAAGUCUGGUGUCAGCCGCCGCGGUAAUACCAGCACCCCGAGUGGUCGGGACGAUUAUUGGGCCUAAAGCAUCCGUAGCCGGUACUGCAAGUCUUCCGUUAAAUCCACCUGCUUAACAGUUGGGCUGCGGGGGAUACUACAGCGCUAGGAGGCGGGAGAGGCAAGCGGUACUCAAUGGGUAGGGGUAAAAUCCGCUGAUCCAUUGAAGACCACCAGUGGCGAAGGCGGCUUGCCAGAACGCGCUCGACGGUGAGGGAUGAAAGCUGGGGGAGCAAACCGGAUUAGAUACCCGGGUAGUCCC
rnacentral:rRNA from 1 species